rnacentral:rRNA from 1 species
GACGAACGCUGGCGGCGUGCCUAAUACAUGCAAGUAGAACGAGUUGCGAACGGGUGAGUAACGCGUGGUAACCUGCCGCAUAGCGGGGGAUAACUAUUGGAAACGAUAGCAAAUACCGCAUACUGUGAGAUGUACCUGUGUUGUGUUAGCUAGUUGGUGAGGUAAAGGCUCACCAAGGCGACGAUACAUAGCCGGCCUGAGAGGGGGAUCGGCCACACUGGGACUGAGACACGGCCCAGACUCCUACGGGAGGCAGCAGUGGGGAAUAUUGCACAAUGGGCGCAAGCCUGAUGCAGCCAUGCCGCGUGUAUGAAGAAGGCCUUCGGGUUGUAAAGUACUUUCAGCGGGGAGGCGUUACCCGCAGAAGAAGCACCGGCUAACUCCGUGCCAGCAGCCGCGGUAAUUC